GGCCGGGUAGCUCAGUUGGCAGAGCACGCGCCUGAAAAGCGCGGGGUCGCCGGAUCGACGCCGGCCCCGGCCACCA
rnacentral:tRNA from 1 species